UACGAAGGGUGCAAGCGUUAAUCGGAAUUACUGGGCGUAAAGGGUGCGUAGGCGGUUCGUUAAGUCUGUUGUGAAAUCCCCGGGCUCAACCUGGGAAUGGCAAUGGAUACUGGCGGGCUAGAGUGUGUCAGAGGAUGGUGGAAUUCCCGGUGUAGCGGUGAAAUGCGUAGAGAUCGGGAGGAACAUCAGUUGCGAAGGCGGCUCUCUGGACCAGCACUGACACUGAGGCACGAAAGCGUGGGGAGCAAACAGG
rnacentral:rRNA from 1 species